GGAGGUAGCCCGAAUGGACGAGGAGCUUGUCUUGAAAACAAGUAAUACUGAAAAGUAGUAUGGGCGGUCGCCGCGCGAUUCGAUUCCUAUUGCCUCUG
rnacentral:tRNA from 1 species